rnacentral:rRNA from 1 species
CCUACGGGAGGCAGCAGUGGGGAAUAUUGGGCAAUGGGCGCAAGCCUGACCCAGCCAUGCCGCGUGAAGGAUGACGGCUCUCGGGUUGUUAACCUUCUUUUCUGGGGAAGUGCAGAAGAGGAUAUCUUCUAAACUACAUAUAGCUAACUACGUGCCAGCAGCUGAGGUAAUACGUAGGUGGCCAGCGUUAUCCGGGUUUACUGGGUGUAAAGGGUGUGUUGGCGGGAAGGGAAGUCAGAUGUGAAUGUUGGAGGCUCAACCGCCAAAUUGCAGUUGAUACUGGUUUUCUUGAGUAUAGGAGAGGCAGGCGGAAUUCGUGGUGUAGCGGUGAAAUGCGUAGAUAUAACGAAGAACACCGGUGGCGAAGGCAGCCUGCUGGACUGCAACUGACGGUGAGGCGCGAAAGCGUGGGGAGCAAACAGGAUUAGAUACCCCUGUAGUC